AUGAAAUCUGGUGAGAGUUCAGCUUCAGUUUCAUUUUUUUCAAUCAUCUUCAAAGGGCGAGUAGUACAUCUAAAGCAACCCAUCGAGGAAAAGUCAGCACUGACCUUGCGGAUGGGCAUGGCGUCUCCCUGCGAGCUGACCAUCUCCACCUCAAUGCGCUCCAUCAAGCCCUCCAGCUGGUCGCGCACGUCCCGCGCUCGCCUCAUGGAGCGGAACUGGAUGAAGUUCUCGUAACACCACUGCGUCGAGUAGCCGCUCUCCACCCACUAAGGCACACAGACACAAACACAUUUUUACAAACAAAUGUCCAUUGAAAAACUCCAACAUUUUAUAUUUCCAUAUAUACAGUAACAGUUGCAAGAAAAAGUAUGCAAACCCUUUGGAAUGAGCAGGUUUUCUGCAUAGAUUGGUCAUGAAGUGUGAUCUGGUCUUCCUCUAAGUAACACCCACAAAUUUGCUCAGCGGGUAGCCAACAUAAAGACACUGAGUUUAGUCUAAAGACACAGAAGAGGCGCUGCAGGAGUGUUUCGAUGUCACCAACAUCUUUUAAAUAAGUAUAAUUUUAUUAGGAAAUAUAUUUGUUAUCGGCAUUAUUAUUGUUUUUAUGUUUGGCCCUUGUGUACAGCACUGUUUCAGUUGCUGUUGUUUUUUAAAGUUCUAUAAACUAAAGUUGAGCUGACAGUUCAGUACACAGUGUCUGCAAUUUUUAAGAUAUUUGGUUUUAUCUGCUUCUUUUACUGUAGAAAGCUUUUAACUAAUUUCAGCACUUUUUUGUUUUUAACCCUAUAAAUUCCAUUUUGUUUGCACAAUGCAGAGGCUGCAAAACAACCUAAAAAAAUGAUUUUAUACAUAUUCCCAGUACCUACUUUUUUUCUUACACUAUGGGUGUAUUGCAAAUAUUCUAAUUCUUGUACAGCGCCUGUGAAUAUUCUCAUUCAUCCAGGUCAUUUCAUUCACAGAGCAU